rnacentral:rRNA from 1 species
AGAGUUUGAUCAUGGCUCAGAACGUACGCUGGCGGCACGCCUAACACAUGCAAGUCGAACGAAGUAGCAAUACUUAGUGGCAGACGGGUGAGUAACAUGUAGGUAUCUACCCUACGGCCUGGAAUAACACGAGGAAACUUGUGCUAAUACCGGAUAAGUCUUUACGGAGAAAGCUUUAUGCACCAUUGGAUGAGCCUGCACUUGAUUAGUUUGUUGGUAGGGUAAUGGCCUACCAAGACUGUGAUCAAUAGCUGAUUUGAGAGGAUGAUCAGCCACAUUGGGACUGAGACACGGCCCAAACUCCUACGGGAGGCAGCAGUGGGGAAUCUUGCACAAUGGAGGAAACUCUGAUGCAGCGAUGCCGCGUGAGUGAAGAAGGCCUUUGGGUUGUAAAGCUCUUUCGUCGGGGAAGAAAAUGACUGUACCCGAAUAAGAAGGUCCGGCUAACUUCGUGCCAGCCGCCGCGGUAAUA